CAGUCGCCGCGGGAAUACGUAGGUGGCAAGCGUUGUCCGGAAUUAUUGGGCGUAAAGGGCUCGCAGGCGGUUUCUUAAGUCUGAUGUGAAAGCCCCCGGCUCAACCGGGGAGGGUCAUUGGAAACUGGGAAACUUGAGUGCAGAAGAGGAGAGUGGAAUUCCACGUGUAGCGGUGAAAUGCGUAGAGAUGUGGAGGAACACCAGUGGCGAAGGCGACUCUCUGGUCUGUAACUGACGCUGAGGAGCGAAAGCGUGGGGAGCGAACAGGAUUAGAUACCCCAGUAGUCCAUGUCUCUUAUAC
rnacentral:rRNA from 1 species